GAUGAACGCUGGCGGUGUGCCUAAUACAUGCAAGUCGAACGGACAGAUAAGGAUCUUGCUCCUUUUACGUUAGCGGCGGACGGGUGAGUAACACGUGGAUAACCUACCUAUAAGACUGGGAUAACUUCAGGAAACCGGAGCUAAUACCGGAUAACAUAUUGAACCGCAUGGUUCAAUAGUGAAAGGCGGCUUUGCUGUCACUUAUAGAUGGAUCCGCGCCGGAUUAGCUAGUUGGUAAGGUAACGGCUUACCAAGGCAACGAUACGUAGCCGACCUGAGAGGGUGAUCGGCCACACUGGAACUGAGACACGGUCCAGACUCCUACGGGAGGCAGCAGUAGGGAAUCUUCCGCAAUGUGCGAAAGCCUGACGGAGCAACGCCGCGUGAGUGAUGAAGGUCUUCGGAUCGUAAAACUCUGUUAGCAGGGAAGAACAAAUGUGUAAGUAACUGUGCACAUCUUGACGGUACCUGAUCAGAAAGCAACGGCUAACUACGUG
rnacentral:rRNA from 1 species